rnacentral:rRNA from 1 species
UACGUAGGUGGCGAGCGUUGUCCGGAUUUACUGGGCGUAAGGGAGCGUAGGCGGACUUUUAAGUGAGAUGUGAAAUACCCGGGCUCAACUUGGGUGCUGCACUUCAAACUGGAAGUCUAGAGUGCAGGAGAGGAGAAUGGAAUUCCUAGUGUAGCGGUGAAAUGCGUAGAGAUUAGGAAGAACACCAGUGGCGAAGGCGAUUCUCUGGACUGUAACUGACGCUGAGGCUCGAAAGCGUGGGGAGCAAACAGGAUUAGAUACCCU